CCGCACGCGUCGGGAGAGCGUGCUGGCCGCAGAAAUCGCAGGCCGCGCCGCCGAAGGGGCACACCCGCAAACUCUCAGGCAAAAGGACCGACUGCGUCGAA
rnacentral:ncRNA from 2 species